rnacentral:rRNA from 1 species
UACGGGGGGGGUAAGCGUUGUUCGGAAUUACUGGGCGUAAAGGGCUCGUAGGCGGCCAACUAAGUCAGACGUGAAAUCCCUCAGCUUAACUGGGGAACUGCGUCUGAUACUGGAUGGCCAGAGGUUGGGAGAGGGAUGCGGAAUUCCAGGUGUAGCGGUGAAAUGCGUAGAUAUCUGGAGGAACACCGGUGGCGAAGGCGGCAUCCUGGACCAAUUCUGACGCUGAGGAGCGAAAGCCAGGGGAGCAAGCAGG